UCCUAUGUGCGCAUGCAAAACCCUAAUGCUUGGAUCUAGGCUUUCUAAUUAAACAUGCUUUGAAUCCAAGACUUCUAAUGGCUAAUUAGGUUAAAUAAAAACAGUGAAAUAGAUCUAGAACCAUACCUUUGAGUUCCUUGUUGAUCUUAUGGUCUUGGAGCUUCUAGAGUCACAAAUGUCACUCCUCUAAUGGCUUACAAACACCAAUAGCAAGAAAGAUGAUUUAUGAGAGAGGAGAGGGGAGGAAAUCGGCCAGGGUUCUCUUACUUUUGGAGAGGUGCCGAUUUCCCUUAGCCAUGGGGUCUAUUUAUACUUGUAGACUCCUUAAGGGUUACAACCUAAACCCUAAUUGGAUAAUCUUCUCUUAAGGCUAUCCAAAUCCUUUCCAUAGAUAAGCCUUGGACGAAUUUAGCUAUCCUUUAGCUUCUAGAAUUCGUCCCAUCUCUAUCUAUAAGGAUUUACAGUCUAAAGCUUAACUAUCAAACAAUUGACAGUUUAUACCCCUUUAUUUAAUUAAUCUCUUUAAGUCACCAAAUUAAUUCUAAUUAAUUCUAUGACUUAUAUUAAUCAAAUAACAAAUAUAUUAUUCAUUAUAUUAUUCUCAUAAUAUAUUAAUAAUAUUUACUCUCUCUUAAUAAAUCAUCCUAUCAAGUUGCUAUGGUGAAGGCAACCCAAAAGGACCAUGCACAACCGGGUCAAAUACUUGCCUAAUAUAGUUGCAGCCUUAGACACUAUUCCAACAGUCUCCCACUUGGAUAAGUCUAGUAACUAUAUGCACAAGUACAAUUCGGUUUGCAAUCGUAGCUCUCAAAGACGCUGUCAAACUCUGAUCUAAUCAAUCUUGUCCUUUAGAUAAGGGAUCGUACAGUCCUCUGUUAGAUAUCAUGCUGACAAUCCUAUGGAAUGGUUAGUCAAGCAUUUAGGUUUCUCGAUCUCUGAUUUAUUUGACAUAGAACUUAAUCGAACACAUCAAUUCAGUUCUGACCGGGCCCGGCACAUAAGUCAAAUCAAAUCAUCGAGCGGCCGAGAUAUCGCUUUUACCUUCUUAGAUAAAAGUUACAGAUAAACUUCGACUUAUAUGCAUUUACUUAUUCAUUAACCAACUAUACACAACAAUACGUUUUAUAACACCAAGUUACUGAUGCGUUUUCGUAUUAUCAAUGUACAAUCAAUUAACAAAUAAUAAACCAUAUAUCUAGGUUUUAAGACUAUAUGAUAUUAUCGUCUUGCGAUCACCUUUUAUAUCGUAUUCCAUAAGGUGAUUCCAGCAAGCGCGGGUUUAUUCCAAUGCUCAAAACUAGUUCAUAAGCACUCAUGAACGUUGCAGCAAUCCUUUGCUAUGUCUAACACCAUUUAGACAUUCUACACACCAAUUCAUGACAAUCUUCAUUCAUAUCUACUCCCAACAUAUGAACGAUUGUGGACCAUUUGAACAAUUCGAUUAUUCCUAAUAAACUCAAUUAUUCUGGAAGUCAAAACAUGCAAAGUGAAACAAUAGCUAAACAAUUAACAUAAGAUAGUAACAUUACUCAUAAAUAAAACUCCUUUAUUUAAUCAUCAAAUGUCAAUUACAUUUAUCUAUUACACGUUUCUAAUACUAUCUAAUCUAUGCUAAUAUCAUCCUUCAGCCCAAUACUCCUAGCAUGCUGCAAGUGCUUAACCCUACUCAGUCCCUUCGUAAGCGGAUCUGCUGGGUUAUCUUCUGAUGAUAUCCUCUUCACUACGAGUUGUCCUUCUUCUACACGAUGUCUAAUGAAGUGAUAUUUUCUGUCGAUAUGUCUUGAUCUACCAUGAUCCCUCGGUUCCUUGGUCAAGGCAACCGCGCCUUCGUUAUCACAGAAAAUCUCCAUUGGCUCCUUUAUGGCAGGUACAACUCCAAGAUCACCGAUGAAGUUCUUUAGCCAUAUUGCCUCCUUCGACGCUUCGCUCGCUGCAAUGUACUCUGAUUCGCACGUUGAAUCAGCUACGGUUUCCUGCUUGGAACUCUUCCAUGUCACUGCUCCUCCAUUUAGGGUAAAGACCCAGCCCGACUGCGAACGGUAGUUGUCCCUGUCGGUCUGAAAACUGGCGUCACUAUACCCUCGCACCUUCAAGUCAUCACUCCCUCCGAGGACUAAGAACCAUUCCUUCGUCCUCCGAAGGUACUUAAGGAUAUUCUUCACCGCAAUCCAAUGUGCUUUGCCAGGAUUCCCUUGAUAUCUGCUAACCAUGCUCAAAGCGAAGGCUACAUCAGGGCGAGUACAAGUCAUAGCGUACAUGAUUGAGCCAACUGCGGAAGCGUAUGGUACUCGGCUCAUUUCUGCUAUCUCAGCUUCGGUACUCGGACUUUGAGUCUUACUCAAUUUGGCAUUACUUUGUAUCGGUAGUUCUCCCUUCUUUGAGUUUUCCAUACUAAAACGUUUUAGUACCUUCUCUAAGUAAGUAUUCUGACUAAGUCCAAUUAGUCUCUUACUUCUUUCUCUUACUAUCCUUAUUCCCAAAAUGUAAGAAGCCUCUCCGAGGUCCUUCAUAGCGAAGCACUUCCCGAGCCAGGACUUAACCUCCUGCAGAGUCGGGAUGUCGUUUCCUAUGAGUAAUAUGUCAUCGACAUAUAGAACGAGGAAGCUUACUAUACUCCCACUGGCUUUGACAUAUACACAAGAUUCGUCUUCGCUUCGUACAAAUCCAAACUCUUUGACUUUCUCAUCGAAGCAAAGAUUCCAUCUGCGAGACGCUUGCUUAAGUCCAUAAAUGGACUUCUCAAGCUUACACACUCUAUUCGGAUGCUUCGGAUCCACAAACCCCUCUGGCUGAGCCAUGUAAACAUCCUCAGCCAACUUUCCGUUAAGGAAAGCGGUCUUGACAUCCAUUUGCCAAAUCUCAUAAUCAUGAAAUGCGGCAAUUGCUAGCAUCACUCUAAUAGAUUUAAUCUUCGCAACUGGUGAGAAGGUCUCAUCAUAGUCAACUCCGGGAGUUUGAGUAAAGCCCUUCGCAACCAAUCGCGCUUUAUAUGUGUGUACGUUUCCAUCCACGUCGGUCUUCUUCUUGAAGAUCCAUUUGCACCCAACGGUCUUACGUCCGGGCACAUAAUCAACCAAAUUCCAAACUUGGUUAUCAUACAUGGAUUGGAUCUCGCUAUCCAUUGCCUCUUUCCAUUUUGCAGACUCCGGGCCUGCCAUGGCUUCCUUAUAGCUAUUAGGUUCAUCAAGAUUUAUUAGUGUACCAUCACUAAUAUACGUGUCCCCUUCGGUAGUAAUAUGAAAACCAUAAAACUGGGGUUGAACUCUAACUCUAUCGGAACGUCUAAGAGGUAAGGAUUCGUCAAUCGGUUCAACCGGAGUUUCCUCCUCGGGUUGAGUGCCAGCGGUAGAGGUUCCUUCAUCUAUCGACUCUUGAAUCUCUUCAAGCUCGAUUUGCCUCCCACUGUCUCCUUGGCUUAUGAGUUCUCGCUCUCGGAAAACUCCUCUCCUCGCAACGAAGACAACAUUGUCCUUCGGUCUAUAGAAGAGAUAUCCAAAGGAUGUCUGCGGGUAGCCGAUGAAAAUACAUCGCUCACUUCGAGGUUCAAGCUUGUCGUGAGUAUCUCGUCUUACGAAAGCCUCGCAACCCCAAACCUUGAUAUGUGCCAACGAGGGAGCUUUCCCUGUCCACAUCUCGUGAGGUGUUUUGGCAACCUUCUUAGUAGGGACUCGGUUAAGGAUAUGGGCGGCAGUCUCUAAGGCAUACCCCCAAAAAGAGAUAGGUAGUGAAGCACGACUCAUCAUAGAGCGAACCAUAUCCAAUAAGGUUCGAUUACGCCUUUCUGCCACACCAUUCAACUGCGGUGUCCUAGGAGGCGUCAAUUGCGAAACUAUUCCACACUCCUUGAGAUAAUCGUGGAAUUCAAGACUUAGGUACUCUCCUCCUCGAUCGGAUCGAAGCAUCUUGAUUUUCCUGCCCAAUUGAUUCUCCACUUCAUUCUUGAACUCUUUGAACUUUUCAAAGGUGUCUGACUUUUGCUUGAUUAAGUAGAUAUACCCAUAUCUACUAUAGUCAUCGGUAAAAGUCACAUAGAAGCGGUUCCCAUCCUUCGUGGUUGAUCUAAACGGUCCACAUACAUCGGUAUGUAUUAGGUCCAAUAGACCCUCGCCCCUUUCACAUGUACUCGUGAAGGGUGACUUAGUCAUCUUUCCAAGCAAACAAGACUCGCAUGUGUCAUCUUCCCUAAGGUCGAAUGACUCCAACACUCCAUCCUUUUGGAGUUGGGCUAUGCGUUUCUUGUUGACAUGUCCAAGACGACAAUGCCACAAGGAUGCUUUAUCCAUACUAGUGGAAGAAUCAAUAUUCAAAACAUCAUUUCCUAAGUUAUCAACAAUCAUAACGGUUUCAUAUAUUCCAUUACAUGGUAUAGCUUCAAAGUAAAAGACACCAUUUAGAUAAGCCAAAAUAGAACCAUUCUCAUUAUUAAAAGAAAAUCUAAAUCCUUGUCUAUAUAAACCAUGAAAUGAAAUGAUGUUUCUUGCCAUUUCUGGCGAAUAGCAACAAUUGUUCAAAUCUAAAACUAAACUAUUCCUAAGCACUAAGGAAUACACUCCAAUCUUGGUCACAGGCGACGAUCUUCUGUUCCCCAUGAUUAGAUUGAUCCUUCCUUGCUCCACAUCCCUACUUCUUCUUAGUCCCUGCACAUUAGAACAAAUGUGAUAACCACAACCGGUAUCAAGAACCCAAGAAAUAGCAUGAUUAGAAUCGUUAGAUUUGAUUGUAUAUAUACCUGCGAAAGAUGGCUUGAUCUUUCCUUCUUUGAUUGCUUGCAGGUAAUCCGGGCAGCUUCUCUUCCAAUGUCCUAUCUUGUGGCAGUGGUGGCACUCUGCCUCCUUCGGGUUAGAGCAGGGCUUGGCGGGAUCAACUUUGGUCCCACUAGAAGAGGCACCAUCUCGGGCUUUCACCUUGCGAUAGUUCUUCGAUGAAGCUUUCCUCUUCUUUCCCUUCCCUUGUCCAAUAGCCAAGACAGGAGCAGCGGGCGGAUUGGGAGUAGGUGCAACAGACUUGUCUUUGAAGUUGCUCUCAGCAACCCUCAAGAGACCUUGGAGCUUGCUUAGGGUGACCUCUUCUUUGUUCAUGUGGUAGGUCAUCCUAAAUUGGUUGUACAUCGGAGGCAAAGAGUGAAGCACCAUGUCGAUCGCCAAGUCUUCACCGAAGUCAACAUUUAACUUGCGGAGGCGGUCAACAUACCUUUGCAUCUUUUGCAAGUGCACGGUAAGAGAUUCUCCAUGACCCAUCUUCGCGGAAAUCAUGUUAGUGAAAAUCUCGUACCUCUCUUGUCUCGCGUUUUGGUGGUACCUCUCCAAUAAGUCUUGAUGCAUCUCGUACGGGUACAUGUCCUCGUAGGACUUUUGGAAUUCGGAGUUCAUGGUGGCGAUCAUGAUGCAAUGUACCUUCGUUGCAUCUCGCUCAUGAGUUUCAAAGGCGGUGAUUUCGGCGGGAGUAGCAAUUUCGGGGUUGAUUUUCUCGAGCUUCUCAUCGAGGACAUACUCCUUAUCCUCAUAGCGAGCAAUGGUGCGAAUGUAUCUUAUCCAUUCGCUAAAGUUCGUUCCAUCGAAGGUGACCUUUUGGCAAAGGCUCAUCAACGUGAAAGAACUAGCAGCAGCGUUGUUUGCGUUCGACAUCUACAAUUAGAAAAGGACAAAGAUAGAUUAGAAUAAGAAUCCCUAAUUAUCACCCAAUAAGAAAAUUAGGGCUAGGAUCCAACAAUAACAUUUACAUACUAGAAAAGGGAUGCCGUAAUCUAACAUGCAAAUAAAUUGAAGGUAAGUGAAUGACGAUUCACUAAUUCUCCAUCACAAAGGGUGCUACAAUUAGUCCUAAGUGUAUUGAGAAUUCCUAGGUUCGGAUGAGAUUCAUUGAAACUAUUCAAUGGCAUGUUUAAAUCUCGAUAUGUCCCACUUGUUUGUGACUGGGAUACAGAGAAUCACAAAGCGGGUGUGAAUUACCAUGCAAAUUCACACUGUGCCUUCAUUGUAACGAUCACCUAUUCGAUGUGCCGGUAAACUACACACGCUCCAUCGAACUAUGAUAAACAAUGAAUCACCCUUUGCCACCUUCGCUUAGAACCAAUUAGUGUGCCGGUAAACCACACACGCUCCACUAACAUCUUAGCAAGGUGCAAAGUGUAAUUUCAUGGGAUUGCAUCAAUUCACUUUUCCUAAAGUAACUAGGAUUGGGAAAUUUUAAAAUAUGUGUAGUUACUUUGUAUUUCUUAUUAUACUUUUAAUGAGAGGAUGAGGUUGCCCUAUCCUACCCGUUCGGCUAACGACCCUCCACCAAUCAAGCAAGCGGUGGGUGUGAGUGUACACCCAUUAAGCGCCAUUUUAUAGGCCGCAACCUUAUACCCACCUUAUAGAUCGGCUUCGUGAAUGAGGCCUACUAACGGUAAGACUAGCAUUUAGAUAUACAUAUAUAUAUUAUUCUAGUAAUAUCAUAUUAGUAUAGGGUUGUAUUUUAAAACUUUUAAAAUCUAGGGUUUGAAAUUUAAGUUGUCUAAAUUAAAACUUUUAAUCACAAAUAUAAAUUUCAAAACUUGAGGGUAAGUUUUAAACAUUUAAAACAUGGAGGAUCAAAUAACAAAUAAUUCCAAUUAACAAUUAAUAUCCUAAUUAUCUAUAUUUGAUUUUAUUCAAGAUUUCUUUGAAAGAUAAUUACCAAAAUAAUUAAAAUAAUUAAUUAAUUAUCAUAUAAGGAAAUUAAAUAUUUUAUUAGUUGAUAAAUACCUUUAACUAGAUCAAGAUAAUAGUCAUAUAUAUCAAAAAAUCGGAUUUAGAUUGAUCUAUUAUGAUUAAGGUAAGUUUCCAUAAGAUAAUUAUGAAAAAAUCCCGAAUCUGGCCAUUCCUGACGCCUGGACUCGCCGAGUGCACAAAGGGACUCGCCGAGUCAGGCCUACUCGCCGAGUCCACUUUGGAACUCGCCGAGUCCAUGACUCAGAAACCAAAAAAUCGAAUUUUGCAGGUUUGUUUCAGUUAAUCAAGCAACAAUUUAAAGAAAACCAAGCUAGGCUCUGAUACCACUGAUGGGUUUUAGCCAUAAGAACUUUCCUAUGUGCGCAUGCAAAACCCUAAUGCUUGGAUCUAGGCUUUCUAAUUAAACAUGCUUUGAAUCCAAGACUUCUAAUGGCUAAUUAGGUUAAAUAACAACAUUGAAACAGAUCUAGAACCAUACCUUUGAGUUCCUUGUUGAUCUUGAGGUCUUGGAGCUUCUAGAGUCACAAAUGUCACUCCUCUAAUGGCUUACAAACACCAAUAGCAAG
rnacentral:lncRNA from 1 species